UCCUUCCUUCCUUCCUUCCUUCCUUCCCUCCCUCCUAUUUCUUCUCCCCUCCCCUGUGAUCCCCUCCUUUCCCUUCCUUCUUUUCUUGGUACUCUUGUGCAGGAUUCAAGUACUAAGUGCCUGGCGACCUCUUCACCUAGAGCAACGCUGCCAUGCAGCUAAUGGGCACAGCCUGGGGUGCACCUGCUGUACGUUCUGCUCCUUAGUCAUGGUCUGUGCUGUAGCAGCUGUGAAAUUUUUUGCACUGAGAUCAACUAAAGCAGGGGACAACAAAACAGAAAAAUCCCUUCUCUGGGACACAUAUAUGCUGUCGAGGGGGCUGCUUCCCCCACCUCCAAGACUCCGGUGCGCCUCUCCGCUCGCCCCUCACCCCGACGCACGGUGAAGCCCCCCAGCUCCUGAAGCCAGGGUCACAGCGCCCCUCAAGCAUAUGCAAGCAUGGGACGCUCCUGUGGGCCACGUGGGCAGGCGGCCGGGAGCAGAGGGCCCGGCACACCCAGGACGUCGGCGCUGGGAGGCCCUCGGACCUCCUGCCACCGGGCGCGGGGAGCCCCGCAGCCUCUCACACCCGCGGGGCGGGGCUGCGGGGCUGCGGGGCUGCGGGAGCGGAGGCGUGAAGACCUUGAGGCUGCGGGACAAAGGCGAGGUCUUCCGGGAAAGUUGGCCAACAUGGCCAAGGAGGGAGGGACAGGGAGGUGAGGGCGCCUAGGGCCUGGACGCGAGGGGCCUGUCCUCCCAGGUAUGGAGUUUGGACUCUACUCCAAAAGCGGCGGGAGGCCACCCAUAUGCUUUUACCCGGGGAGUAAUGUAAGCAGGGGUGUGUGUACUUGUGUACGUGCAUGUGUGCGUGCACGAGUGUUGCUCUGGCUACAUCUGGAGAGUUGAAUGGGAGGAGACAGUCGUGGAAGCACAUAUUCCCCACCCCACAGGCUAGGUACAGAUACGCAGGUUGCUCUCUGUCCAAGAGCACCUGGCCCGGAAGGGCUAGUCCCAACAAAAAUAGGGCCCUCUUGCACUCGCCAAACCGGAGUCCUACCACAGAGCUGAGUCUGGCCAAAGAAAAGGGACCCGUUUCUUAUUUGCUCAAAAGCAUCACUGCCCACUGGGCUGUGUAUCUAAUGGGCUGUGACUGUGUGAAAGGGGUACCUUGUUCUAUGUCCACUAAGGAGCCACAUGGGCCAGCAGAGGCCCUACAAGAGUCAGUGGUGGCUUGGACCCAAGUGAGGGGACCCAGAUGGUGAGAAGCAGCCCACUCGUAGGUGCAUUUUGGGGGCUGAAAUGGCAGGAGUUUAUAAUGACCCAAAUGGCAAUAAGGACAAGGAAGGGGUCAGGGAUGACAACCACAUUUCUAGAAGAACUAGAGGUGCUGGAGAGAGUCAGACUUGGAGAGAAAGAUCAUGGCUGCCCCUAGUGGUACCAUCUUGAGGCCUGGCGGCUGGGGUCUGGGCCCAGUGAAUGGAGACUGCUGACAUGCCAGGUCUUUGGCACUCAACAAGGCCACAGGGGUAGAGUUUAACAUGAAAUCUGAGGGGUGAGCCAUGAUUUUGUACAUUUUAACAUUUCAAUGUUAAGCAAAAUUUGAACGAGGAAUCAAAAGGGAGGGACAGAGGACUCCAAAGUACAGUGGAGUUUUCCUAGCGAGUCUAAUAUUAACCAGUCAAAACCCUAAUAGUCAAAGUGAAGGACCAGAGUUCUGUGGUCUGUCCCCAGGCCUGUACUCUCUCUGUACUCUCACCGGGCUCCUGUGGCCUGUGGCUCCUGUGGCCUCCUCAAAACUCAGGGGCCUUCGUUUCCAUUCAGGCUUUUCAUCCUUCCUCACAGCCAUAAAAAUGAGAUUUAUUGACAUGGGGUGGGGGGGUCAAAAUAUAACUCCAAGAAAUAAAAGACUAUAAAACAGUAGGUUUUAACUCAUUUUGGUAGACACCUGGGUGGCUCAGUCAGUGAAGCGUCUGCCUUUGACUCAGGUCAUGAUCCCAGGGGCCUGGGAUCAAGUCCUGCCUCAGGCCCCCUGCUCUGCUGGGAGAUGCUUCUCCCUCUGCCUCCGCCUGCAGCUCCCCUUGCUUGUGCUCUCUGUCAAAUAAAUGAAGUCUUACAAAAAAAAUCUUAUUUUUGGAAAAAUAUAACUCAAAACUGCCAGACACAGCAUGCAGAGAGAAACAUCUGAGUGAUUGUACUAGAUGCUGGCCGCAGCUGUCUCCAGAUGGAGGACUUAUGGGUCAUUCUCUGUGUAAACCAUGAAGCCUGGAGUGUGCUGAGGCUCCAGGCUCCUGCCUUCAGAUGGCGAAACGGAGGCUUGGGAAUCUACCUGGCUCUGCCUUAGCCGGACCUGGGAAUCUAAAGGCACCAAGUUAAGAUCAUGAACUCCUAAAGGCACACAGUGAGAGAGAGAGGCAGAGACACAGGCAGAGGGAGAAGCAGGCUCCAUGCACCGGGAGCCCGACGUGGGAUUCGAUCCCGGGUCUCCAGGAUCGCGCCCUGGGCCAAAGGCAGGCGCUAAACCGCUGCGCCACCCAGGGAUCCCCUUGACUAUUGUGUGUUAUGAACAUUGGUGAACAGGUUUUGGGUUGAGCACCUGUUUUCAGUUCUAUUGGGUAUACACCUAGGAGUGGAAUUUCUGGGUCAGAUGGUGAUUUUAUGUUUAACAUUUUAAGGAACUGCCAUACUGUUGUCCAAAGUGGCUACACUGUUUUACUUUCCCCGCCAUCAAUGAGUCCUAUUUUUUUUUUAACUAUCUGCCUCAGCACUGGUGCCACUGCAUAAAGAGAAGAGAUUGUUGCUGUUUACUGAGAAAUGAGAUGCCUGGCACUGUGAGGAAGCUAUUUUCCUGUGCUCUACAAUUUGAUAUUCCUGACAACCUAAGUACUAAAGACAUUAAUGUCCCCAUUUUACAAAUAGGAAACCAAGGCCAGAAAAGCUGAGAUCUCCUAUCCAGGGCCUCAGAGACUCACCAUUGUUCCAAAGGCUGUGGAUUUAAGAGGAACAUGUCACUAAACUCCAUGCUUCUAUCUCUGAAAAACAUUCCCCACUGCACUACUGCAGCCCAGAAAUGUGCCAGUGAGAUGGACAGGAAGUGGCAUUGCGUUUGGAAGUCUCAGGGAGAAGAGACAAUCAACUCAGCUUCGUUUAACUUAGUUCCCAGAAUCUCCCCUAACAUCUUGUCAGGGCUCCCAGUAACCUGAUGCCAGGCCAAUGCCCUAAACUUCUACUGACAACUUACCAUUUAAAGAAGAUGAAUGGAAGAAAAUCAUGAUGAAUGGAAAUAUCCUUUCAAGGGAAGAAGACAGUGAAUGGGUCAUCCUUGUUUGUAGAGAUGAACUGCUUUGUUUGCUGCAACAAGUAUCUGAAAUGGAUCCACAAUCUACCAAAGAGAACAAAAAGAAUUACACAUGGAGAAUCUGAAGCAUCCUGGAGAUACAUGUCUUAUCUUUGGUAACUCCAAUGUCAGGCUGUUUUAGUCAUCAGAAUUUCUAUGGACUAUGUUUUCAAAAUUACUGGGUGUUCAGAAAAAUCAUAGAAUUUUAAAGCUGCAAGACAAAUAGUAAAAAAAGUUUUAAAUAACAUUUAUUGAGGACUAAUAUCAUGGGAAAAGCCAUAUUCUAAAUAUUUUACGUGUAUUAUUUUAAUUCUUAAAACUAUCCUAUGAAAUCCGUAUUAUUAUCCAUGUGCAGUAGAUGAGGAAACCAAAGCAAAGACUGUAUGGGCUUAAAUCCUAGCUCUGUCAUUUAUCACCAAGGGGACUUGGGCAAAUUGCUUAAUUUCAUCUGUUAGAUGCAGAUAGUCAUAGUAGUUACUUCACAGGGUUGUUGUGAAAAUUGAAUGAGUUGGUAUAGAGGAGGCACUUAGAACAAUGGCAGGAACAGAGUAAUAAGCAUUCUCUAAACGUCAGCCAUCACUUGCUUAAAGUCCUAAGUAGCAGAGCUGGGAUUAAAUCCUGCUGCCAUGGUUCCCCAGUGUGUGCUCCUAACCACAAUGCAUGCCUCUUGUGAAGAGAUCUUUUUUUUUUUUUUUAAACUAACAUCUUUUUAAAUUUUUUAUUUACUUUUAAAAUUCAAUUUUGUUUACAUAUACUGCAUUAUUAGUUUCAAGGGUAGAAUUUAGUGAUUCAUCAGU